rnacentral:lncRNA from 1 species
CUUCUUCCCCGGGUCUCCGAAGCCGCUAGGCGAGCGCAAGUGGGCCAUGGCUGGCGGGAGGCGGGAUUACAGCCAGCUCUUUGGCCGCGGCCCCGGUCGGCUCUCGCGAGCGCGAGCCUCUGUUGUGCGUUGGUCUCCCCGGGCAACUGCUUGCCCUGCGCCACCGAGCCUCCCGGAUUUAAAGCGGCAGGAGCUGGUUAGCCGGAUAGAAUGUAAUCCACCCGCCUUGGCCUCCCAAAGUGCUGGGAUUACAGGUGUGAGCCACCAUGCCCAGCCAGAAACUGCCACUUUUAAACCAUCAGAUCUCAUUGAGAACUCCCUCACUAUCACGAGAACCGCAUGAGGGAAACCACCCCCAUGAUCUGAUCACCUCCCACCAGGUCCUGCCCUCAACAUGUGGGGAUUACAAUUCAAGAUGAGAUUUGGGUCAGGAAACAGAGCCAAACCAUAUCAAGAGCCUCUGGUAACCACUGUUCUACUCAAUACUUCUAUGAGGUGAACUUCUUUGGAUUCCACAUAUGAUCAAGAUCAUGAGGAAGGAGGAGCAAGUCUUCUUUGUCAUGCUAUUAAGAAAAUACCCAGAGUCACAGCACCAUGAUCUCCUUGUGAAGCAGAACAAGUAAUAUAAAACUGAUCUAAAGAGGCCUCCCCUCUACUCUUAUCUGUCUGGUCGAGUCAUUUGGGUCCAAGUGGGCACCAUUGUGGGAGGGUGGGAGGACUCAUCACUGGGGGCCCAGGCAUCAUUGGCAUGUGGCCUCCUGUGUUAGUUUGUUCUCAUGCUGCAAAUAAAGACAACUUGAGACUGGAUAAUUUAUAAAGGAAAGAGGUUUAAUGGACUCACAGUUCCACAUGGCUAAGGAGUACUCACAAUCAUGGCGGAAGACAAAGGAAGAGCAAAGGGACAUCUUACAUGGCAGCAGGCAAGAGAGCGUGUGCAGGGGAAGUCCCCUUUAUAAAACCAUCAGAUCUCAUGAGACUUAUUCACUAUCGCGAGAACAGCAUGAGAAAAACCCACCCCCAUGAUUCAAUUACCUCCCACCGUGUCCCUCCCAUGUCAUGUGAAGAUUAUUACAACUCAAGGUCACAGGAACCUUGAUCUGUGCUUGCUGCAAGGAUCAUCAAACAUAGAGCGG